rnacentral:rRNA from 1 species
GACGAACGCUGGCGGCGUGCUUAACACAUGCAAGUCGAACGAAGUGGCGAACGGGUGAGUAACGCGUAAUCAACCUGCCCUUCAGAGGGGGACAACAGUUGGAAACGACUGCUAAUACCGCAUACUGAAGGAGGGGAUUGCGUCUGAUUAGCUAGUUGGGGGGGUAACGGCCCACCAAGGCGAUGAUAAGUAGCCGGUCUGAGAGGAUGAACGGCCAAAGUGUGACUGGUACACGGCCCAGACCUCUACGGGAGGCAGCAGUGGGGAAUCUUCCGCAAUGGACGAAAGUCUGACGGAGCAACGCCGCGUUAGUUAUGACGGCCUUCGGGGUGUAAAGCUAUGUUCAUCGGGACGCGGUACCGGAAUAGAAAGCCACGGCUAACUACGUGCCAGCAGCCGCGGUAAUUC